rnacentral:rRNA from 1 species
GGCGGCAGGCUUAACACAUGCAAGUCGAGCGGUAGCAGAUCUAGCUUGCUAGAUGCUGACGAGCGGCGGACGGGUGAGUAACGCGUAGGAACCUGCCCGGUAGUGGGGGAUAGCCCGGGGAAACUCGGAUUAAUACCGCAUACGCUCUGCGGAGGAAAGAGGGGGCUUCGGGCUCUCGCUAUUGGAUGGGCCUGCGUGAGAUUAGCUAGUUGGUGAGGUAAUGGCUCACCAAGGCGACGAUCUCUAGCUGGUCUGAGAGGAUGAUCAGCCACACUGGGACUGAGACACGGCCCAGACUCCUACGGGAGGCAGCAGUGGGGAAUAUUGCACAAUGGGCGCAAGCCUGAUGCAGCCAUGCCGCGUGUGUGAAGAAGGCUUUCGGGUUGUAAAGCACUUUCAGUGGGGAGGAAGGCCUCGUAGUUAAUAGCUGCGAGGAUUGACGUUACCCACAGAAGAAGCACCGGCUAACUCCGUG